rnacentral:tRNA from 1 species
CAAAAGGUAGUUUAAAUCAAAACAUCAAUUUUGGAGAUUGAAGUUCUAAUAGAUUUAGUUUUUUGA